rnacentral:rRNA from 1 species
ACGCUCGACACCUACGGGGGCAGCAGUGGGGAAUAUUGCACAAUGGGGGAAACCCUGAUGCAGCGACGCCGCGUGGAGGAAGAAGGUCUUCGGAUUGUAAACUCCUGUUGUUGGGGAAAAGGAGGAUGGUACCCAACAAGGAAGUGACGGCUAACUACGUGCCAGCAGCCGCGGUAAUCUGAGCGGGCUGGCAAGGC